rnacentral:rRNA from 1 species
CCUACGGGAGGCAGCAGUGGGGAAUAUUGCACAAUGGGGGAAACCCUGAUGCAGCGACGCCGCGUGAGUGAAGAAGUAUUUCGGUACGUAAAGCUCUAUCAGCAGGGAAGAAAAUCACGGUACCUGACUAAGAAGCCCCGGCUAACUACGUGCCAGCAGCCGCGGUAAUACGUAGGGGGCAAGCGUUAUCCGGAUUUACUGGGUGUAAAGGGAGCGUAGACGGCAGCUCAAGUCUGGAGUGAAAUCCCAUGGCUUAACCAUGGAACUGCUGUGGAAACUGGGCAGCUAGAGUGCAGGAGAGGUAAGCGGAAUUCCUAGUGUAGCGGUGAAAUGCGUAGAUAUGAGGAGGAACCCCAGUGGCGAAGGCGGCUUACUGGACUGUAACUGACGUUGAGGCUCGAAAGCGUGGGGAGCAAACAGGAUUAGAUACCCUGGUAGUC